rnacentral:rRNA from 1 species
GGGAAUCUUCCGCAAUGGGCGAAAGCCUGACGGAGCAACGCCGCGUGAGUGAUGAAGGUCUUCGGAUCGUAAAACUCUGUUAUUAGGGAAGAACAAACGUGUAAGUAACUGUGCACGUCUUGACGGUACCUAAUCAGAAAGCCACGGCUAACUACGUGCCAGCAGCCGCGGUAAUACGUAGGUGGCAAGCGUUAUCCGGAAUUAUUGGGCGUAAAGCGCGCGUAGGCGGUUUUUUAAGUCUGAUGUGAAAGCCCACGGCUCAACCGUGGAGGGUCAUUGGAAACUGGAAAACUUGAGUGCAGAAGAGGAAAGUGGAAUUCCAUGUGUAGCGGUGAAAUGCGCAGAGAUAUGGAGGAACACCAGUGGCGAAGGCGACUUUCUGGUCUGUAACUGACGCUGAUGUGCGAAAGCGUGGGGAUCAAAC